AUGACGUCCUCCGAAACCCCCUCUCCUGUUGCCUUCCUCACCUCUCAAGAACGGCUUCCGCCGUUUCUGUUAUCUCCGUCGAUCUCAAGAAGGGGAAGUGGUUGAGGCGGAGACCACCACCGGAGCCGUUCCCUUCCGGCUCCAAUUGGAUAAGCCCAUCCCCUUCAAGAAUGGGAUCCCGAGAAGAUAUGCUCGCCGCGGUCACCGAGGACUCCAUGAUCGUAACCCUUGCAUAGAUCAAGAUCGGAGCUCACAGAGGACUCCAAGAUCGUCUUGCCUCAUUUCAAGUGGCAGAGGCUUUGGAUUAUCCUCCUCCCCACGAUGUGAGCUCUGCCACGGCUUUUUGGAGUUCGUAAUUUCCAGCCACGAACUCGAGUUGUAGCUGUUUCGUACGAACUCGAGACAUCCUUUCGAAAGUGACAAGCUUGAUGUUGAGUGCAAUCUGCAGCAGCAAAACUUUUUCUGGUCAAGAAGGCAAAGCAAUAAAAAAGAACGCAGAUUGUGCUGAAUUUUUUUCAGAAUUAUUUACGAUUAACAUCUUGUUCAUACAUCAUUUUCAAUAUCCAGGAAAAACCAUUCUGGAUUCAAGGAAAAAUGGAAAUGCCAUUUUGUAAAUUUCUGACAUAUAUACACAAAUUUUAAAUGUUUAUUUGAUA